rnacentral:rRNA from 1 species
AAUAGAUACCCCGGUAGUCCACGCCGUAAACGAUGAGUGCUAAGUGUUAGAGGGUUUCCGCCCUUUAGUGCUGCAGCUAACGCAUUAAGCACUCCGCCUGGGGAGUACGGCCGCAAGGCUGAAACUCAAAGGAAUUGACGGGGGCCCGCACAAGCGGUGGAGCAUGUGGUUUAAUUCGAAGCAACGCGAAGAACCUUACCAGGUCUUGACAUCCUCUGACAACCCUAGAGAUAGGGCUUUCCCCUUCGGGGGACAGAGUGACAGGUGGUGCAUGGUUGUCGUCAGCUCGUGUCGUGAGAUGUUGGGUUAAGUCCCGCAACGAGCGCAACCCUUGAUCUUAGUUGCCAGCAUUCAGUUGGGCACUCUAAGGUGACUGCCGGCGACAAACCGGAGGAAGGUGGGGAUGACGUCAAAUCAUCAUGCCCCUUAUGACCUGGGCUACACACGUGCUACAAUGGAUGGUACAAAGGGCUGCAAACCUGCGAAGGUAAGCGAAUCCCAUAAAGCCAUUCUCAGUUCGGAUUGCAGG